rnacentral:rRNA from 1 species
UACGUAGGGUGCAAGCGUUACUCGGAAUUACUGGGCGUAAAGCGUGCGCAGGCGGUUUUGUAAGACUGUCGUGAAAUCCCCGGGCUUAACCUGGGAAUGGCGAUGGUGACUGCAAGGCUAGAGUUUGGCAGAGGGGGGUAGAAUUCCACGUGUAGCAGUGAAAUGCGUAGAUAUGUGGAGGAACACCGAUGGCGAAGGCAGCCCCCUGGGUCAAAACUGACGCUCAUGCACGAAAGCGUGGGGAGCAAACAGG